CAAACCUCUGAUCAGGGAAGACUACCCGCUGAGUUUAAGCAUAUCACUAAGCGGAGGAGAAGAAACUAACCAGGAUUUCCCUAGUAACGGCGAGCGAACCGGAA
rnacentral:rRNA from 2 species